GGGGAUGUGGCUCAGUGGUAGAGCGCCCGCUUUGCAUCUUCUCCCAGUUACGACUUCGAGUACCGAUGAUCUGCGGGAGGCCCAGGUUUCGAUCACCUGCUUCUCCA